CUGCACCCUGCAAGGUGCUCCUUGAAGAAGACUGGGGUUAAAACCAGAAGAGGGAAAGGGUAAAUAAGCACACAGCUCUACCGUACAUCAUUCCGGCUGGGAACUGAGGCACAUGUCUGCAUGGAACUAGCAUGGGAGGCACAGCAUCCCACAUGUGAAGGCUGUUAGUGAACUUCCUAUGUGUGACGUUGUCCUGUGUGCAUUGGAGUUGCUUGGAAUCACAGCAAUGCAGAAGAAUCCUGCAAGGCAUUGCACCUAAGAAUUCCUUUCAAAGAUUCCCUAAGUCAGUUACGGUUGUCUGUCCUUAUUCAUGAGAAGAUACCUGUUGGAACAGAAGAAGUCAAA
rnacentral:lncRNA from 1 species